GACAGUGUGGUGUAGUGGUUUCAGUGUUAGACUGUGACACUGGAGACCAGGGUUUGAAUCCCUGCUUAGCCA